UUAGGUUUUAUUCAUUUUCUUCUGGAAUUUUUCUGGGAUUCUUGUUGUUGAAGGUUGAUGAAUAUGAUAUGAAGAUGAAAAAGAAGAUAAG
rnacentral:pre_miRNA from 1 species